rnacentral:rRNA from 1 species
AGAGCCUUCCCCUUCGGGGGACAAAGUGACAGGUGGUGCAUGGUUGUCGUCAGCUCGUGUCGUGAGAUGUUGGGUUAAGUCCCGCAACGAGCGCAACCCUUAAGCUUAGUUGCCAUCAUUAAGUUGGGCACUCUAAGUUGACUGCCGGUGACAAACCGGAGGAAGGUGGGGAUGACGUCAAAUCAUCAUGCCCCUUAUGAUUUGGGCUACACACGUGCUACAAUGGACAAUACAAAGGGCAGCGAAACCGCGAGGUCAAGCAAAUCCCAUAAAGUUGUUCUCAGUUCGGAUUGUAGUCUGCAACUCGACUACAUGAAGCUGGAAUCGCUAGUAAUCGUAGAUCAGCAUGCUACGGUGAAUACGUUCCCGGGUCUUGUACACACCGCCCGUCACACCACGAGAGUUUGUAAC